AGUGGGCUGGAGUUGAGCAGAGUUCCCUUCUCCUAGCUAGGGGCAUACUCUGGAGUACGCAAAUCCAACAGUCCCAACAGAGGAAAGCAGCUUCCUGUAUAGUUGGCCUGAGAGGUUAACUUCUUGUCAGAGUUUUACAUGAAUUAUUUUUAUGGUGGAAAUAGAUCUAAAUGUUCCACCAAAAAUGAUUUUUAUCAGGAACUGUCACAGCCACCUCAACCUUUAGCAACCACCACUGUUCAACGCAACAUCCUUCAACAACAGAAAGAUUGACUCACUGUAGGCUCAGACAUGGGGCCUCACUACGUUUCACAGGCUGGUCUAAAACUCCUGAGCUCCAGGGAUCUGCCUGCCUCUGCUUCCCAAAGUGGUGGGAUUGCAGGCAUGAGCUAUCAUGCCCGGCCUGCUCUGAGUUUUAAGUAAAAAUUUAAAUGCUCUUCUCUA
rnacentral:sRNA from 1 species